rnacentral:rRNA from 1 species
UUUUUAUGAGAGUUUGAUCCUGGCUCAGGACGAACGCUGGCGGCGUGCCUAAUACAUGCAAGUAGAACGCUGAGGUCUGGUGCUUGCACUAGACGGAUGAGUUGCGAACGGGUGAGUAACGCGUAGGUAACCUGCCUCAUAGCGGGGGAUAACUAUUGGAAACGAUAGCUAAUACCGCAUAACAGUAUUUACCGCAUGGUA